rnacentral:rRNA from 1 species
CCUACGGGAGGCAGCAGUGGGGGAUAUUGGACAAUGGGGGGAACCCUGAUCCAGCGACGCCGCGUGAGUGAAGAAGUAUUUCGGUAUGUAAAGCUCUGUCAGCAGGGAAGAAAGAAAUGACGGUACCUGACCAAGAAGCCCCGGCUAACUACGUGCCAGCAGCCGCGGGAAUACGUAGGGGGCAAGCGUUAUCCGGAAUUACUGGGGGUAAAGGGAGCGUAGACGGUUAAGUAAGUCUGGAGUGAAAGGCCGGGGCCCAACCCCGGGACUGCUCUGGAAACUAUUGAACUUGAGUGCAGGAGUGGUAAGCGGAAUUCCUAGUGUAGCGGUGAAAUGCGUAGAUAUUAGGAGGAACACCAGUGGCGAAGGCGGCUUACUGGACUGUAACUGACGUUGAGGCUCGAAAGCGUGGGGAGCAAACAGGAUUAGAUACCCUAGUAGUC